GGCGAGUGAAGCGGUAACAGCUCAAAUUUGAAAUCUGGCCUCACGGUCCGAGUUGUAAUUUGUAGAGGAUGCUUCGAGCAUGGUCUGGCCUAAGUUCCUUGGAACAGGACGUCAUAGAGGGUGAGAAUCCCGUAUGCGGCCAGGUGCCUACGCUCAUGUGAAGCUCCUUCGACGAGUCGAGUUGUUUGGGAAUGCAGCUCAAAAUGGGUGGUAAAUUUCAUCUAAAGCUAAAUAUUGGCCAGAGACCGAUAGCGCACAAGUAGAGUGAUCGAAAGAUGAAAAGCACUUUGGAAAGAGAGUUAAACAGUACGUGAAAUUGUUGAAAGGGAAGCGCUUGCAACCAGACUUGCGCGCGGCCGAUCAUCCGGUGUUCUCACCGGUGCACUCGGCCGUGCUCAGGCCAGCAUCGGUUUUGGCGGCUGGAUAAAGGCCCUAGGAAUGUAGCUCCUCUCGGGGAGUGUUAUAGCCUAGGGUGCAAUGCAGCCUGCUGGGACCGAGGACCGCGCUUCGGCUAGGAUGCUGGCGUAAUGGUUGUAAGCGGCCCGUCUUGAAACACGGACCAAGGAGUCUAACAUCUAUGCGAGUGUUUGGGUGUCAAACCCAUACGCGUAAUGAAAGUGAACGGAGGUGAGAACCCUUAAGGGUGCAUCAUCGACCGGUCCUGAAGUUUACGGAAGGAUCUGAGUAAGAGCAUAGCUGUUGGGACCCGAAAGAUGGUGAACUAUGCCUGAAUAGGGUGAAGCCAGAGGAAACUCUGGUGGAGGCUCGCAGCGGUUCUGACGUGCAAAUCGAUCGUCAAAUUUGGG
rnacentral:rRNA from 1 species